rnacentral:rRNA from 1 species
GAUGAACGCUGGCGGCGUGCUUAACACAUGCAAGUCGAACGAGAAAUGUAGACGGAAACCUUCGGGCGGAAGCCUUCAUUUCGAGUGGCGGACGGGUGAGUAACGCGUGGGUAACCUGCCUCAUACAGGGGGAUAACAGUUGGAAACGACUGUUAAUACCGCAUAAGACCACAGCAUCGCAUGAUGCGGGGGUAAAAACUCCGGUGGUAUGAGAUGGACCCGCGUUCGAUUAGCCAGUUGGUGGGGUAACGGCCCACCAAAGCGACGAUCGAUAGCCGAUCUGAGAGGAUGACCGGCCACAUUGGGACUGAGACACGGCCCAAACUCCUACGGGAGGCAGCAGUGGGGAAUAUUGCACAAUGGGGGAAACCCUGAUGCAGCGACGCCGCGUGAGUGAAGAAGUACUUCGGUAUGUAAAGCUCUAUCAGCAGGGAAGAAAAUGACGGUACCUGAGUAAGAAGCCCCGGCUAACUACGUG